rnacentral:misc_RNA from 1 species
GAAAUGCGAUAAGUAAUGUGAAUUGCAGAAUUCAGUGAAUCAUCGAAUCUUUGAACGCAGCUUGCGCUCCUUGGUAUUCCUUGGAGCAUGCCUGUUUGAGUAUCAUGAAAUCUUCAAAGUAAAUCUUUUGUUAACUCAAUUGGUUUCUACUUUGGUAUUGGAGGUCUUUGCAGCUUCACACCUGCUCCUCUUUGUUCAUUAGCUGGAUCUCAGUGUUAUGCUUGGUUCCACUCGGCGUGAUAAGUUAUCUAUCGCUGAGGACACUGUAAAAGGUGGCCAAGGUAAAUGCAGAUGAACCGCUUCUAAUAGUCCAUUGACUUGGACAAUACUUUUAUGAUCUGAUCUCAAAUCAGGUAUGACUACCCGCUGAACUUAAGC